AGAGUUUGAUCCUGGCUCAGAAUGAACGCUGGCGGCGUGGAUAAGACAUGCAAGUCGAACGAAGAACUGAUUAGUUUACUAUGAGGUUCUUAGUGGCGAACGGGUUAGUAACGCGUGAGCAACCUGCCUUAAAGUGGGGGAUAGUCCUGGGAAACUGGGUUUAAUACCGCAUGUGCCCCUCCUUUAGUGGAGUGGGUAAAGCUGCCUUCGGGUGGUGCUUUAAGAUGGGCUCGCGUCCUAUCAGCUUGUUGGUGAGGUAAAGGCUCACCAAGGCGACGACGGGUAGCUGGUCUGAGAGGAUGAUCAGCAACACUGGAACUGAGACACGGUCCAGACACCUACGGGUGGCAGCAGUCGAGAAUCAUUCACAAUGGACGAAAGUCUGAUGGUGCAACGCCGCGUGGAGGAUGAAGGCCCUAGGGUCGUAAACUCCUGUCAUGUGAGAGUAAGGCAUAAUCGUUAAUAGCUUUUAUGUUUGAUAGUAUCACAAGAGGAAGGGACGGCUAACUUCGUGCCAGCAGCCGCGGUAAUACGAAGGUCCCGAGCGUUAUUCGGAAUCACUGGGCGUAAAGGGAGCGUAGGCGGCGCGGUAAGUCAGAUGUGAAAUCUCAAGGCUCAACCUUGAAACUGCAUCCGAUACUGCCGUGCUAGAGUAAUGGAGGGGUAACUGGAAUUCUCGGUGUAGCAGUGAAAUGCGUA
rnacentral:rRNA from 1 species